rnacentral:rRNA from 1 species
GACGAACGCUGGCGGCGUGCUUAACACAUGCAAGUCGAACGGAAAGGCCCUGCUCUUGUGGGGUUCUCGAGUGGCGAACGGGUGAGUAACACGUGAGUAACCUGCCCUUGACUUUGGGAUAACUUCAGGAAACUGGGGCUAAUAUCGGAUAGGAGCUCCUGCUGCAUGGUGGGGGUUGGAAAGUUUCGGCUGUUGGGGAUGGACUCGCGGCUUAUCAGCUUGUUGGUGGGGUAGUGGCUUACCAAGGCUUUGACGGGUAGCCGGCCUGAGAGGGUGACCGGCGACAUUGGGACCGAGAUACGGCCCAGACUGCUACGGGAGGCAGCAGUGGGAAAUAUUGCACAGUGGGCGGAAGCCUGAUGCAGCAACGCCGGGUGCGGAAUGACGGCCUUCGGGUUAUGAACCGCUUUCGCCUGUGACGAAGCGUGAGUGACGGUAAUGAGUAAAGAAGCACCGGCUAACUACGUG